AUCCAGUGUGUAACUCACAGCAUGUUGUCUCUGUGCUGUUGUCCAGGAGACAGAGCUGGCCUUCAGAUGUGACUGUGGUGACAACAUAUCCAACCAGCAGUCCUCCUUCACCACCCUGCCCAGGUGAGUGACAUCACAUCUAACAUAGGCGCUCUGCCUAGUGGUGACAGCUCAAAUGUUUUCAUCCUCUUCUUGUGUUUGUUUCCUGGGUUGAUGCUGUAUCUGGAGCGUUUUCACUUCACUCCAUUUCUGCAGUUGGAGAAGCUGAAUUGUCCUCUUCAGGGAGCUGCUGCUGACCCCCAGCCAAGCUGAUGGUUGGUACAGUCUGGUGAGCGUCAUCAGUCAUCUGGGCUCCAGAGGGAACAGAGGACACUACAUGUGUGAUCUGAUGCACCCAGAGGCGGAGCUGGAUGACCCCACUGACUACUGGCUUACCUAUAAUGACUCCCAGGUCACGGAGACAGCCUGGGCCUCUAUCUGCGAGAAGCAUCAGCGAACGGUCUAUAUCCUGUUUCACUAACAACAGAUGUAGAGCAGCCUGAAGAUGGUCAGACUUUAUGUGGCGGGUUCCAUAAAAUGUUCCAGCCCCGGGGUCUCAUUACAGACAAAUAUUCUAACUACUUGUUCUGUCUGAACUGAAGUUUCAAAAAUAGGAAGGAUCCUGUCUUCCUAUUACAGAAGCAACUCCUGAACUCAUGGCCUAUCCUAUCUCAGACCUCCUGUCUUACCUUAACUUCAGAAAUUUGAACUAUAACUUUGAAUUUGAUUCUUUUUUAGCAUAACAUGCCUAAACCGAAUAGUAGAGAUAGCUCAGUCUGGUUGAGUUAAAUUCAACACUUUUUAGACAAAGAAAGUGACUCCAAAUGUGCCCUACCAAACAGUCGUGCAGAAUGUUAAAGGGUUGAGGAUCUGGCCGCAAAAGCCAAAUGUGACACUAGGUGGCAGGAACUCCAUUCUCUUACAGUCAGUUCUCAUCCCAAGACAUCCCAAUACUGAAUACAUACAGUAUUUUACUGUGUAUUUUAUAUGGUCUACUACUACUACUGUUCCUACUUAGUCCUUAUUAAUGAUCCUAAAAGAAUGAAGUCAAAUACUAUAUGAGAAAGAGACCUUUAAGACUUGGAAGUGUCUUUUUUCCUGUGGUGUUCUGUUCUCCAAGUUAAACCUUCAGCUUUCUCUCUUUGGCUGCUAGUUUUUUCAUGCACUGGUCAAUUUUGAGAUUUGGCUACCAUAACAUUUCUUUUUUCAGGUCAGUGGAAAGAAAACAGCCAAAGUACACAUUUAGGUGUUUAUUUACGUUCCAAUUCCUGUGCUGGAUAUGUAUGCAGAAAGUGCAUAUUUAAUCAAAUAAUGCAUCGGUUGCAUAUUUAAACAUAGAAUAUGAAAACUUGUAAUCCAGAAGAUAAUCAUCUUAAUGUAGAUAAUCAAGUGAAGAAGUUUCAAGGUGAUAUCUAUUGAUUAUUUCUUUUUACCCUGUUGUCUUAUUCUUUAGCUUAUGAAUGUAUUGCGAGUUUUACGAAGGCCAUUCUCUCAAAAUGAGUUUUUUCUUAUCUCUGAGCCAAAAAUCUCCACUUCAGUAGCAAUUACAAACCAAAUUUUUUCAGUUUCAUUCCUAUCUAUAUUCUAAAGGAUUUUACAGAGGGGUUUGUUCAUAUAUGACUGAUAUGUAGAACAUUUUAUUCCUUAAAAAAACAUGAUGAAAAUGGAUUGUUUAUGGCUGUAUUGUCUUGUUUAUUUUCUAAUUUAUGGAGUGAUGAAAAUAGAUAUCCAAAAUCCCCUCUGUAAAAACCUUUGACUCUAAUGUGUCAACAAAGUGAAAGGAGAACUUUGAGAUUUUUGUUUCUGAAAUGUAUAUGUAUCAGUGCAUGUUUAAUUAAAUAAUGCUUCAUUUGCAUAUUCAAACAUAACAUCAAAAAUUUGUGAUAUAAAAAAUAACUGCCACACUAUGAUUAAGUAACUAAGGAAGUUUUACCCUAUUCACCUGUAGUGUCCCCGUUUAAGUCUUUAAAUCCAUGAAAUAAUCCCAAAUGCAUAUUAAAAUAAAUGAACUGAAACUAUGACUCUUUAAUUGCCUGAAAACAACUGGUGCUGACAUGUUCAUGUGUGUGAACAUAUUUAAUAUAAGAGAAUAAAGCACUUUAUUGUUGAAAGUACAAUAAAGCAUGAGGAGCAUGAGGAGAGUGGGAGAGAUGAAGAGGUUAGGUGUGGUCAGGGUGGAGCAGAGAGAAGCAGACGGUAUGCACCACCACAAAAUGUGAAUCUCGUUUGAUUUUACUUGAAAGUCUUUUAACAUAGUCUGAAGGGUACUUUGUAGUAAAGUCUACAGAGUGCUGCUGGGAUGAUGUUAUUUUAGUUUCCAACGUGGAAGUAAUGCCGUGCUGAUUCCCUCAUCAAAGCGCUAAUUGGAUUUUUUCCAUUGGACUUUGAAUUACUGCAGAAAAUAAGCUCUGUGGCAAACAAAAGUUUAUGAUACUUACACGUGUUGUUUAGCAAGAUAAUCUUUACAAAUAAACACAGCUUUAUGAUUUUUGAAGUGUAACUGCAAUCGCCAGAAGUGACAAGCUAACAUAAACGACCUAUGCCACGGCCAAAUGACUAAGAUCACCACCACAGCGAGGCUGCAAAGCCAUGUCGGCGUGAUGACAUUCUGUAGUCUCAUUCAGCCACCUGUUAGCAACCU